rnacentral:ncRNA from 1 species
AACAACAUAGGCGAUGGAGUUCGCCUUUAACCGCCCGUGAGCUAAUGACUCCUACCAGUGC